GCGCCCAUGGUGAAAUGGAUAUCACACCUGUCUUCGGAACAGGCGUUCUGGGUUCGAGUCCUGGUGGGCGCA
rnacentral:tRNA from 1 species